GACGAACGCUGGCGGCGUGCUUAACACAUGCAAGUCGAACGAAGUGGCGAACGGGUGAGUAACGCGUAAUCAACUUGCCCUUCAGAGGGGGACAACAGUUGAAAACGACUCCUAAUACCCCAUACUGAAGGAGGGGAUUGCGUCUGAUUUGCUCAUUGGAGGGGUAACGCCCAACCAAGGCGAGGGUCAGUCGCCGGUCUGAGAGGAUGAACGGCCACAUUGGGACUGGGACACGGCCCAGACUCCUACGGGAGGCAGCAGUGGGGAAUCUUCCGCAAUGGACGAAAGUCUGACGGAGCAACGCCGCGUGAGUGAUGACGGCCUUCGGGUUGUAAAGCUCUGUUAAUCGGGACGCGGUACCGGAAUAGAAAGCCACGGCUAACUACGUGCCAGCAGCCGCGGUAAUUC
rnacentral:rRNA from 1 species